rnacentral:rRNA from 1 species
UACGUAGGGGCCGAGCGUUGUCCGGAUUUAUUGGGCGUAAAGCGCGCGCAGGCGGCCUCGCGCGCCCGACGUGAAAGCCCCCGGCUUAACCGGGGAGGGUCGUUGGGGACGGCGGGGCUUGAGGGCGGGAGAGGUCGGUGGAAUUCCCGGUGUAGUGGUGAAAUGCGCAGAUAUCAGGAAGAACACCCGUGGCGAAAGCGGCUCUCUGGAACGGUACUGACGCUGAGACGCGAAAGCGUGGGGAGCGAACAGG